AAAAUCCGUUGGUUUCG
rnacentral:tRNA from 1 species